GUGGGGAAUAUUGGGCAAUGGGCGAAAGCCUGACCCAGCAACGCCGCGUGAAGGAAGAAGGUCUUCGGAUCGUAAACUUCUAUCCUUGGUGAAGAUAAUGACGGUAGCCGAGAAGGAAGCCCCGGCUAACUACGUGCCAGCAGCCGCGGUAAUACGUAGGGGGCAAGCGUUGUCCGGAAUGAUUGGGCGUAAAGGGCGCGUAGGCGGCCUGGUAAGUCUGGAGUGAAAGUCCUGCUUUUAAGGUGGGAAUUGCUUUGGAUACUGUCGGGCUUGAGUGCAGGAGAGGUAAGUGGAAUUCCCGGUGUAGCGGUGAAAUGCGUAGAGAUCGGGAGGAACACCAGUGGCGAAGGCGACUUACUGGACUGUAACUGACGCUGAGGCGCGAAAGUGUGGGGAGCAAACAGGAUUAGAUACCCCAGUAGUCC
rnacentral:rRNA from 1 species